GACGAACGCUGGCGGCGUGCUUAACACAUGCAAGUCGAACGGAGAGGCCGGGCUUUUGGGGGGUGCUCGAGUGGCGAACGGGUGAGUAACACGUGAGUAACCUGCCCUUGACUUUGGGAUAACUUCAGGAAACUGGGGCUAAUACCGGAUAGGAGCUCCUGCUGCAUGGUGGGGGUUGGAAAGUUUCGGCGGUCGGGGAUGGACUCGCGGCGUAUCCGCUUGGUGGUGGGGUAGUGGCUUGGCAAGGCUCUGAGGGGUGGCGGGCCUGAGCGGGUGACCGGCCACACCGGGACUGGGAUGCGGCACAGACUCGUACGCGAGGCAGCAGUGGAGAAUGUUACACUACGGACGGAAGCCUAACGCAGCAACGCCGCGUGCGGGAUGAGGGCAAGCGGGUUGUAAACUGCAUUCGUCUUGGACGAAGCGUGAGUGACGGUAAUGGGUAAAGAAGCACCGGCUAACUACGUG
rnacentral:rRNA from 1 species